UACGUAGGGCGCAAGCGUUGUCCGGAAUUAUUGGGCGUAAAGAGCUCGUAGGCGGUUUGUCGCGUCUGCUGUGAAAACCUAAGGCUCAACCUUGGGCUUGCAGUGGGUACGGGCAGACUAGAGUGCGGUAGGGGUGACUGGAAUUCCUGGUGUAGCGGUGGAAUGCGCAGAUAUCAGGAGGAACACCGAUGGCGAAGGCAGGUCACUGGGCCACAACUGACGCUGAGGAGCGAAAGCGUGGGGAGCGAACAGG
rnacentral:rRNA from 1 species